rnacentral:rRNA from 1 species
UCGGUUGAAGAUGGGCAUGCGUUCCAUUAGCUGGUUGGCGGGGUAACGGCCCACCAAGGCAACGAUGGAUAGGGGAACUGAGAGGUUUAUCCCCCACACUGGAACUGAGACACGGUCCAGACUCCUACGGGAGGCAGCAGUGAGGAAUAUUGGUCAAUGGGGGCAACCCUGAACCAGCCAAGUCGCGUGAAGGAUGAAGGUCUUAUGGAUUGUAAACUUCUUUUAUACGGGAAUAAAGUGGGGGACGUGUCCCCCUUUGCAUGUACCGUAUGAAUAAGGAUCGGCUAACUCCGUACCAGCAGCCGCGGUAAUACGGAGGAUCCGAGCGUUAUCCGGAUUUAUUGGGUUUAAAGGGUGCGCAGGCGGGAUGUUAAGUCGGCGGUGAAAUUUUGCAGCUCAACUGUAAAAG